rnacentral:rRNA from 1 species
GACAGAGGUGCCGAGCGUUAGGCGGAAUCACUGGGCUUAAAGCGUGUGUAGGCGGACUUCUAAGUACCUUGUGAAAUCCCACGGCUUAACCGUGGAACUGCUUGGUAUACUGGUUGUCUUGGGCCAUCUAGGGGCUACUGGAACAAACGGUGGAGCGGGUGAAAUGCGUAGAUAUCGUUUGGAACGCCAAUGGUGAAAACAAGUAGCUGGGGAUGUGCCGACGGCUGAGACACGAAAGCCAGGGAGACGAACGGGG